GACAGAGGUCCCGAGCGUUAGGCGGAAUCACUGGGCUUAAAGCGUGUGUAGGCGGAGUGCUAAGUACCUUGUGAAAUCCCACGGCUCACCCGUGGAACUGCUUGGUAUACUGGUUCUCUUGAGCCACUUAGGGGCGAGCGGAACAAACGGUGGAGCGGUGAAAUGCGUAGAUAUCGUUUGGAACGCCAAUGGUGAAAACAGCUCGCUGGGAGUGUGCUGACGCUGAGACACGAAGCCAGGGGAGCAAACGGG
rnacentral:rRNA from 1 species